UACGAAGGGGGCUAGCGUUGUUCGGAAUCACUGGGCGUAAAGAGUACGUAGGCGGAUUGUUAAGUCAGGGGUGAAAUCCCGAGGCUCAACCUCGGAACUGCCUCUGAUACUGGCAAUCUUGAGUCCGGGAGAGGUGAGUGGAACUCCUAGUGUAGAGGUGAAAUUCGUAGAUAUUAGGAAGAACACCAGUGGCGAAGGCGGCUCACUGGCCCGGAACUGACGCUGAGGUACGAAAGCGUGGGGAGCAAACAGG
rnacentral:rRNA from 1 species